rnacentral:tRNA from 1 species
GGGCCGUUAGCUCAGCGGUAGAGCGUCCCCCUUACACGGGGCAGGCCGCAGGUUCGAAUCCUGCACGGCCCA